AAGAUAGCUUGCUAUUUUUAUGAAGAGCGGCGAACGGGUGAGUAACGCGUGGGAAAUCUGCCGAGUAGCGGGGGACAACGUUUGGAAACGAACGCUAAUACCGCAUAACAAUGAGAAUCGCAUGAUUCUUAUUUGAAAGAAGCAAUUGCUUCACUACUUGAUGAUCCCGCGUUGUAUUAGCUAGUUGGUAGUGUAAAGGACUACCAAGGCGAUGAUACAUAGCCGACCUGAGAGGGUGAUCGGCCACACUGGGACUGAGACACGGCCCAGACUCCUACGGGAGGCAGCAGUAGGGAAUCUUCGGCAAUGGGGGCAACCCUGACCGAGCAACGCCGCGUGAGUGAAGAAGGUUUUCGGAUCGUAAAACUCUGUUGUUAGAGAAGAACGUUAAGUAGAGUGGAAAAUUACUUAAAUGACGGUAUCUAACCAGAAAGGGACGGCUAACUACGUGCCAGCAGCCGCGGUAAUACGUAGGUCCCAAGCGUUGUCCGGAUUUAUUGGGCGUAAAGCGAGCGCAGGCGGUUUCUUAAGUCUGAUGUGAAAGCCUUCGGCUCAACCGGAGAAGUGCAUCGGAAACUGGGAAACUUGAGUGCAGAAGAGGACAGUGGAACUCCAUGUGUAGCGGCGAAAUGCGUAGAUAUAUGGAAGAACACCAGUGGCGAAGGCGGCUGUCUGGUCUGUAACUGACGCUGAGCUCGAAAGCAUGGGUAGCAAACAGGAUUAGAUACCCUGGUAGUCCAUGCCGUAAAC
rnacentral:rRNA from 1 species